rnacentral:lncRNA from 1 species
CCGGAUGUGGAUUGGCAGGGGUGCAGAGAUGGGGAUGGAGGGGUCUUUAAAUUCUCUCCCUGGGCCUACAAGUUCUUCAACGGUGGGCAAGUCCUUUCAGCUCUCAGAGUCUUAAUUAAUCCCUCUUUCUCCUUGCAUUUUGAGACAAAAUAAUUUAUUCCAGGGUGCCCCUGGGCAAGCUUGGGGGGUGGUGGGGUGGGGGAGCCGAGGGAGUUAAGAAAUUAUAUUUAUGGGACAUUUUUUCAUCAGUAACUCACUGCACUUUGACAGUAUUGAAUAAGAGAAGGUGUGUGGUAUAUUGGAAGGAGUGCUGGAUUUGGAGUAGGGAGACCUGGGUUUGAAUCCUGGCUGCAAUAAAGAAGGAAAAAGUGUGUUAGCUCUAUGCCCAAAGUAACCAAUCCAGAAAGGUUUUCAUUUUUAAAAUUCAGUCCUGUACACACACACACACACACACACACACACACACACACACACACACCCCAUCAAGUCCUCUGCCCUGAUUUUGGGUUGAAAAAAUGAGAUCAUUUUAUCCAUUCCCUUACCCCAGGAAAAAGUUCUUCACCUAAUUGAAGGUGAGUUGGGUCUCUCUUGGAAAUCUACUUUUUCAGCAACAAAUAUUUAAUAUUUUUAAAUAGUUCUUUGUCCUAGGCUUCCUCCUACCACUUUGGAAGUUGUUGCAAUUUGGAGAUUUAUUGAACAGAUUUUUUUUUUAAAUUUACAUUGCAGAUAGAUAGUCUUCCACCAUCUUUAUCAAAUGUGACUUUGGGUAGUGAUGAAGUUUUGGGAUCCAGUUUCCAACAAUCAUCAAAUGCUUCUUUAGCAUCUCAAGACCCUUUUGAAGUAGCUGAGAGAUACUUGGAAAGGCACAACAUUAUUCAAAUAUUCCAGCGGGUCACUGAAAACUUAAUAUAUGAACAGCCUGAAGAUCCUUUGUAUUUUUUGCUGUGGCAGAUUCAGGAAAUAAUCAGAGAGAGGGAUCAAAACUAAAACCUGCAAAUAAAGAACUUUUCCUCAUUCUCA